CCGCGCGGGCCUGCCGGGGGCCCUGGGCACCCACCCGCGAGCCUCGGGUCUCGGGUCCCGAAGAGAAACCGAGGCUCGGGAGACACAGGACCCCGAGGCUACCCUCCUCCUCCAGCGGGCGGGAGCGAACGCGGAUCUAACCUGACUCGGUUCCACUCGGUGCUUUUGCAUUUGCAGAAGCCCGGGCGGCAGUGCCGGCUGCCCCCGUACGGGAGGCAGGAGUUCUAGAGAGCGUGUCGGACCUCGAGCAACCCUGUUGCAACUCCAGGGCAUCCUGGGCCCUUACAGGGGACGCCGGGCUUCACGGCUGCAAGUUGCCCGUCUUUACAGAAUUGCCCACCGAGUGCAGAGUUAAUUCAAAAGUAGCAUCGUUUAAAGUUAAGCAUAUCUCCGUUCAUUCACAUGUGCUGGUUUUUAAAAACUUAAUUCGGUGGAGCUUGAAUCUGUAAAAAUGCACGUUUUGAGUAAAUGUUGGGAAGAAAACCGGUCCAGGCAGAAAACGCUAUAAACAGGGCUAUAUUUAGAGGCCAGUUGUGAAAUUAGCUAUAUUGCCCUCAGAGUACCUUGCAGAAACUUCUGCUUCCAUCUAUUUUAUCAGGGUCGUCUGUAUUGACAUUCAUUUUAUUUAUUCAACAGCAUUCCUUCAACAGAUACUUAGCAAAUGCAUAUAUGUGCCAGGAUACUGUACUAGGUGCUGAGGCUAUAGCAGUGAGCAGAACAGACUAAAUCUUUUCCUGGCAGAGCCAACAUCCUAGGUAAGAAGAACAGAGAGAGAAGAAAAACAAAUUCCUGUGCAAAGCUCGGACAGACAUCCCCAGCCAGUCCCUCUCCUGCCAUUGGCUCCUUGGCAGCUCCGCCCAGCUCUGCAGAGGCAGAAAGACAGGAGCUCGGACAACCCCAAUAUGCUCAUGACCAGAGAGGGUCGACUCAUUUUCACUCCAGCACAUACCAAGAAAGUCCAGCUCAAGAUACAGCAGUAAAAACUUAACUCCUGUGGAAGAAAACCUAAAAUGUCCAGGUGCAAGCUUUAAGAACUAUGAAACCACAAGCUACAGUUCCUAAAUGAUUCUCUGAUCCCUCCAAUCCAUAAGCAUGUACUUCACACAUGACAUGGAACCAGGCACACAGAAAGGAUGACUGGACUAGCAAAGAGCUCCACCAGAGGCUUCUGUUCUUCACUCUCUCCUGCCAAAGCCACUCAUUCCAAAUGCAGUUCAAGGUUCUCCCAAACCACUCAAAAGACUUUUCUGAGCCCCACCACCAGUCUGUCCUAACAUGACAAUUGGGUGCUGCCUGCAAUGUCCCUGUAACAUCUUGAGUGAACCCCUAUUUUAGCACUGUCUGCCUCCCUAACUGUGUCCAUAUAUUUGGUUGAUUACAUGUAUCUUUCCUCACCUAUGACCUUCUAGAGAGAGCAGGCAUUAUUUCUUACUAUCACUGUCUCUUCAGUGCCUAGAAUAACAUACUGCAUAUAGUACAUGUUCAGUAAAAUGUCUAUUCAAAAAAAAGGAGCAGGAAAGAGAAUGAAUAUACGGACAGAUGGACAGAUGGAUAGAUGGAUGGAUCUAUUUGGGGAAAUAAGCCUAAGAUAAAAAUUACUGAGGUACACAAUGACCCUAAGAAGCAUCAUAAGGCAGAUUUUUAAAAAAUGUAAUAGAUGUUCUAAAGGGUCAGAGACAAAGUGGACACAAGUAAGGAAGAAAAGUUAUAUAAAAAAAUAGACAUUCAGUAUGGGGGUAAAAGCAAUGUUAAUUCAUAUUAUGUGAAGAUUUAAGUCACAAAAAAUUAGAACAGAAAUAACCUGGAUUCUUAUACUGACGAUGAAGAAUUUUAAUGACCCCUUUGGUUGUCUGGCACUUCCUUUAUUCCAGUUGAAGAAAAAGAACAGUAGUCAUUGAUAAAUACUAAAAUAGA